CUGGUUAGAUAUGUUGAUGUGCUGAUCUGAAUUUAAUCAAUCAGAUAUCAGAACUACUGAUUUAGAAGAGAUCUAAACAUAAUUUUUUUCAUUAAAUAUUAAGUCUAUAGGUCUUCCAUCAUAGUAGAGAUGCGGGUGCCUUCCUGGCAUUGAGCGUUCUUGAUUGGUUACAGUGAUUUGAUUGCAUCAGAAAGGUACAAUCACUCUAUUGACAUUUGAUAUCCUAGGAUAGAAAUGGGAUUAGACCCAAUAACUA
rnacentral:lncRNA from 1 species